rnacentral:rRNA from 1 species
AUUGAACGCUGGCGGAAUGCUUUACACAUGCAAGUCGAACGGCAGCACGGACUUCGGUCUGGUGGCGAGUGGCGAACGGGUGAGUAAUGUAUCGGAACGUGCCCAGUCGUGGGGGAUAACGCAGUGAAAAUUACGCUAAUACCGCAUACGAUCUAUGGAUGAAAGCGGGGGAUCGCAAGACCUCGCGCGAUUGGAGCGGCCGAUAUCAGAUUAGGUAGUUGGUGGGGUAAAGGCCCACCAAGCCAACGAUCUGUAGCUUGUCUGAGAGGACGACCAGCCACACUGGAACUGAGACACGGUCCAGACUCCUACGGGAGGCAGCAGUGGGGAAUUUUGGACAAUGGGCGAAAGCCUGAUCCAGCCAUUCCGCGUGCAGGAUGAAGGCCCUCGGGCUGAAAACUGCUUUUGUACAGAACGAAAAGGUUUCUACUAAUACUAGGAGCUCAUGACGGUACUGUAAGAAUAAGCACCGGCUAACUACGUGCCAGCAGCCGCCGUAA